rnacentral:rRNA from 1 species
UGCGUAGGCGGAUUAAUAAGUCAGUGGUGAAAACCUGCAGCUUAACUGUAGAACUGCCAUUGAUACUGUUAGUCUUGAGUACGGUCAAGGUAGGCGGAAUGUGUAAUGUAGCGGCGAAAUGCUUAGAUAUUACACAGAACACCGAUUGCGAAGGCAGCUUACUGGACCAUUACUGACGCUGAGGCACGAAAGCGUGGGGAGCGAACAGGAUUAGAUACCCUGGUAGUCC